AAUUAUUAGUAUUUUUAUAAAUCUAUAUCAUGCAUUGUUAAUAUUGAUGAUCACGAAUCUAAGUUGAAAUUUUUCAAAACUUAGUGUUUAUUGAAAAAACAAAAAUAAGCUAAAAUAGUGACAUUAUUGAGUGGGUAUGGUGGGCAGUCUAUGUUUGGGAGCAUGUGGCGAUUAUCUACACGUUACUUUGAUGAUGAUUCGAUCCAUGUUUUGAUUCAGGAGCUUGCGCUUGGGUCCCUUUAGAGUGAACAAGUUUUUUUUUUUUUUUGGUGUAACAGAGUGAACAAGUUGCUCUUGUUACUUCGUUUGAUGCUAUUACAACUAGGUGAAAUUACUCCGCCACAAUAUAUAUUCUCUCAUAAAGUUACAAUCAUUAGAAGACAAUCACAUCGAUCUAUGUCCCGUCUGACAAACUAAAUUCACGUGAUUG
rnacentral:lncRNA from 1 species